rnacentral:miRNA from 1 species
UGAUGAUGAUGACCAUGAUGAUGAUGAUGGCCAUGAUGAUCAUGUUUUUGAUGGUGAUGUUGACCAUGAUGACCAUGAUCUUAAUGAUGAUGAUGA